GUGCAGAUGAUGGAAAUGUUAAAUCUGAUGUCUUUGAAGAAACUCAUCUAAGGAACCUCUGAUGCAC
rfam:Lingula anatina scaffold124, whole genome shotgun sequence.